GCAUCGAUGAACGCAGCGAAAUGCGAUAACUAAUGUGAAUUGCAGAAUUCAGUGAAUCAUCGAGUCUUUGAACGCACAUUGCGCCCCCUGGUAUUCCGGGGGGCAUGCCUGUCCGAGCGUCAUUGCUGCCCUCAAGCCCGGCUUGUGUGUUGGGUCGCCGUCCCCCUCUCCGGGGGGACGGGCCCGAAAGGCAGCGGCGGCACCGCGUCCGAUCCUCGAGCGUAUGGGGCUUUGUCACAUGCUCUGUAGGAUUGGCCGGCGCCUGCCGACGUUUUCCAACCAUUCUUUCCAGGUUGACCUCGGAUCAGGUAGGGAUACCCGCUGAACUUAAGCAUAUCAAUAAGCGGAGGA
rnacentral:rRNA from 1 species